rnacentral:rRNA from 1 species
GACGAACGCUGGCGGCGUGCUUAACACAUGCAAGUCGAACGGAAAGGCCCUGCUUUUGUGGGGUGCUCGAGUGGCGAACGGGUGAGUAACACGUGGGUAACCUGCCCUUGACUUUGGGAUAACUUCAGGAAACUGGGGCUAAUACCGGAUAGGAGCUCCUGCUGCAUGGUGGGGGUUGGAAAGUUUAGGCGGUUGGGGAUGGACUAGCGGCUUAUCAGAUUGUUGGUGGGGUAGUGGCUUACCAAGGCUUUGACGGGUAGCCGGGCUGAGAGGGUGACCGGCCACAUUGGGACUGGAAUGCGGCCCAGACUCCUACGGGAGGCAGCAGUGGGGUAUAUUGCACUAUGGGCGGAAGCCUGAUGCAGCAACGCCGCGUGCGGGAUGACGGCCUUCGGGUUGUAAACCGCUUUCGCCUGUGACGAAGCGUGAGUGACAGUAAUGGGUAAAGAAGCACCGGCUAACUACGUG